rnacentral:misc_RNA from 1 species
UCAACCCUCAAGCUCUGCUUGGUAUUGGGAUCUGCCCCCAGCGGACAGCCCCUAAUUACGUCGGCGGCGGUAUUGAACCUAAAGCGUAGUAGAAUACACUUCCUAGGUUGAGCAUCGUCUGCCUUGCAAACCCCAUCUUAAA